AGAUUGAACGCUGGCGGCAUGCCUUACACAUGCAAGUCGAACGGCAGCACGGGGGCAACCCUGGUGGCGAGUGGCGAACGGGUGAGUAAUAUAUCGGAACGUGCCCCGGAGUGGGGGAUAACGCAGCGAAAGUUGCGCUAAUACCGCAUACGAUCUACGGAUGAAAGUGGGGGAUUCGCAAGAACCUCAUGCUCCUGGAGCGGCCGAUAUCUGAUUAGCUAGUUGGUAGGGUAAAAGCCUACCAAGGCUUCGAUCAGUAGCUGGUCUGAGAGGACGACCAGCCACACUGGGACUGAGACACGGCCCAGACUCCUACGGGAGGCAGCAGUGGGGAAUUUUGGACAAGUGGGGGCAACCCUGAUCCAGCAAUGCCGCGUGAGUGAAGAAGGCCUUCGGUGUAAGCUCUUUGUCGAGGAAGAAACGGUUUAGGUUAAUUACCGUUAGUAACUAAUAGACGUACGUAGAAGAAUAAGACACCGACUAACUACGUA
rnacentral:rRNA from 1 species